AGCUCCAAUAGCGUAUAUUAAAGUUGUUGCGGUAAAAAAGCUCGUAGUUGGAUUUCUGUUGAGGGUGACCGGUCCACACAAUGUGUGCGCAUCUGGUUUCGGCCUCGGCAUCCUCUCGAAAGACGUUUCUGCGCUUGAUUGCGUGGUGCGGAACUACGGGACUUUUACUUUGAGGAAAUUAGAGUGUUCACGGCAGGCCAUCGCCAGAAUACAUUAGCAUGGAAUAAUACUAUAGGAUCUCGGUUCUAUUUUGUUGGUUUCUAGAG
rnacentral:rRNA from 1 species